UCCAUCAGGCAGUAGUUGUGAGCAUUGACCCUCGGAGAGUCUUUGUCGGGAGCCCUGAUGAUGUUGAAUUUAAGACCAUUAAGGUUUCUUCCCCAGGCCCCUCAGGUGAAGAGUAGGCAUGGUAUCAGUGCACAGUCAAUGGUGGACGUGAGGUUCGGCCUAUUGGAGCUUUUGAACUUGCAA